AAACACAGCCAAGGAAGAACCAGCCGUCGCCCCUCAGGCGAUGCGCCCGUGAGUGGCUGGUUCCUAGAAAACAGGAGACGCGGAGGCUGUGCGCCCGAGAUGGAGAGCGGGAGCGAAAGUGGAACCAGGCUGCGUCCCCAGUGUGGGAACUUCCUUACGAAAGGACUCAGAACCGAGCUUCGGGGCGGUGCUUCCCCCGGUCUCCACCCGCCGCCCGGAAGCGGAAGCGACAGCGGAAGCCGAGGUGAGCGCUCAGAGCUGUGGAGUUUCAGCGCCGCUUUCUGGGAGAGAGUCGGGAGUCCGGGUACCCGCUGGAUUUUGUGUCCAAGAAAGAUAACAUAGCGUUCCCGUAGUCUCCUGUUGAAUCUACCGUAAUUGUGGAAAGAUGUCAAAGCAGAAAAGGAUUUCCUAUAAAAUCCCUUUUAAACUGGAGGUAGUGAAGUACGCCAAAGAACAUGGGAACAGAGCAGCAGAGAGGCACUUUGGGCCACCUCCAACCGAAAAAAUGAUUCGGGAAUGGAGGAAACAGGAGGAUCAACUGCAAAAAACAGACAAAACGAAACAGUGUUUUCGUGGGCAUGCUGCGAAAUGGCCACAGUUGGAAGCGGAUGUGAAAGAGUGGAUCACACGUCACAGGAACAAUGGCUUUUCAGUAUCUACGAAAAUGAUCAUAUGUGAAGCCAAACGUCUUGCUGCAGAGAAAGGCAUUGAGGACUUCACUGGGUCACCAUCAUGGUGCCACAGGUUUAUGAAGAGAUGUGGCCUCCCUGUGCACACCAAAACUAGGAUUGCACAGACGAUGCCUAUGGAAUAUGAAUCCAAGAUUGUGUCUUUUCACAAAUUUGUACUGGAUGCAAGAAAGAAAAAUGGAUUUUAAAUAAGCCAGAUUGGGAACGUGGAUGAAGCCCCAUUAACCUCUGAUGUUCUAUCAAACAAGACUGUUGAUGGGAAAGGUGCCAAAACCAUAACUGUGAAAACCUCAGGGCAUGAUAAAACCCAUUACACAGUUGUGUUGUCCUGCCGUGUAGAUGGCACCAAACUGCCACUGAUGCUGGUUUCCAAGAGAAAAAACCUGCCAAAAGAGGCCAUCCCAAGAGGAGUUAUUCUUCAUGUUGACAACGAAGGAUGGAUGGACAAAAAUGGCAUGAAGAUAUGGAUAGAAAAGGUGUGGUCCAAACGUCCUGGAGGGCUUCUGAAAAUACCUGCUCUCUCAGUGCUUGACCAGUUUAGAGCACAUAUCACUGAAGUCACAAAAGAGAUUUAAACAAGAGAAAACCCAUCUGGCCGUAAUUCCUGGGGGGCUUACCAGCCAGUCUGUACCUUUGGGCAUUUCCAUCAACAAGCCAUUUAAAGUUUUCAUGGGAGAAGAGUGGAAUGAAUGGAUGGCUGGUGGAGACCGUGACCUGACACCAACUGGACGAAUGAAGAGGCCCACGAUUACCCGAGUUUGUGAGUGGGUGAAAACCUCAUGCAGUCAGUUAAGGAUGAAACUGGUGUGAGGUCCUUCAAAAAUGUGGCAUCAGCAAUGCCUUACAUGGCUCUGAAGGUGGCAUCCUCUAUGAACAGAGUGAAGACAGUGAGACUAGUGAUUCUGAGGAACUGAGCUUCAUAAAUGUAGACAGUGGUGACGAGGGUUUCUCGGGGUUCCCUGAUGAUUAGAGGAGCUUCGGUACUUAAAGCUUAAAGUCAGUGUAAUGGUUGUUAAUGCUGCUAUUGAGUUCUGUUUACAUUUACAUUGGUGAAAUAAUAUGUUGUUAAAUAUUUUA